rnacentral:tRNA from 1 species
GUCGGGAUAGCUCAGUUGGUAGAGCAGAGGACUGAAAAUCCUCGGGUCACCAGUUC